GACGAACGCUGGCGGCGUGCCUAACACAUGCAAGUCGAGCGGAGGUACAAUGAGAGCAAUCGAGAUGUACUUUAGCGGCGGACGGGUGAGUAACGCGUGAGCAACCUGCCUAUCACAGGGGGAUAAGGCGGCGAAAGCCGCUCUAAUACCGCAUGAGACCCUCAAAGCGAUGCAAUGGGGGUGAAAGGAGCGAUCCGGUGAGAGAUGGGCUCGCGUCCGAUUAGGUAGUUGGUAGGGUAAGGGCCUACCAAGCCAAUGAUCGGUAGCCGGCCUGAGAGGGUGAACGGCCACAUUGGAACUGAGAGACGGUCCAAACUCCUACGGGAGGCAGCAGUGGGGAAUAUUGGGCAAUGGGCGGAAGCCUGACCCAGCAACGCCGCGUGAGGGAGAAGGUUUUCGGAUUGUAAACCUCUGUUCUUGGGGAAGAGGAGGAGACGGUACCCAAGGAGGAAGCCCCGGCUAACUACGUG
rnacentral:rRNA from 1 species